GCACGUGCGCCUUACGUCAUUUCCUGUUAUUCUUUUCUCUCCCCUUUCCCUCCUCCUUGGGCUCAAAACCGUCUUUUGGGGCGUGCCUGCUUCCUCUUCUGUCAGGCUGGAAGUUUACACCUGGAACUCCUGGGCAAGAAGGUAUGUGCUAUUUCCAGUGUCCGGUGCACACUGAAAAACUGCCUGACGGAACAAUUACCACGUGCACGCUGAGCAGCGGCCACCACGGGCCGCCCCACCACCCUGUCUCUCACGGAAUGAAAAGUAGAUACAAGCUGUAGGAAGAAGGAAGUAAUGAGAAAAAUGAGAAGAAAAAUAUGGAAAAUAUAAACACCUGAGAAAAAUGCUUUAAAGGGCACAAAAGCAAACCAGGUUGUCUACAGUGCACAGGAAUUACCAGUAAGAAACACACAAGAGGGGGCCGGAUUUAGCUCAGUGGUUUCGCCGCCUGCUGCGCAAGCACAAGGACCUGAGUUUGAUCCCCAGUACCAAAAAAAGGACACAAGGUAUUAAUGCUAAUUUUCAGCUCAUUACAUUUAAGUCAACAAAUACAUAUUGGGCAGCUGCUGUUACAAGGCUGGACUCAGCACCUAAGGCUGUGGACCCGACAGCAGCCCAGCUACUGGCCUCACAGAGCUUGUGAAUAAGGGAGCAACAUGGGACUGUUUAAUACACACGCAAUGAUUUGAGAUUAACAAGCUGACUUGACUGACCAGCUCUGCAGUGGUAGCACCCUGAGUUACCACACUCCCUGUCCCCUUCUGGUUCACCAUGGGACUUUCUCCCUGCCUUUGAGGAGGAUGCAUGUUUCAGCCUCAGUAGAGGUCAACUUUAAGCUCACACUCAACCCAGUGCUUGCAUUCAAUGUCUCUGAAUGAGGCAUUCGACUCUUCAGUCUCUUCUAGAAACAAGAAGCCCAUUACUCUCUGACUGAGCCCUUUCCUGCUUGUUUGAAAGUUUUCCUUAUCCAACUGCUACCCCCUCUGUGUCUUCCUCUGAUUGGUUCAGAACCUCACAGAACAAGUCUGUCAUGUUCUACAGCCUGCAGAUCUAAGUAAGACCUGUUAGAUCUUCUUUGGGUGACACACCCAGUCCCACAAUCUGCUCCUUCAGUCUGUGAUGACCUUCCCUGGCAGGAAGGGCCUGGGAGCCCCUGUAGAUUUAUCAAACUAAGCACACGCGCAGACCUUCCCACAGAGAACCCAUGGACAGAUGGCCACAGCAUGAGGCAGCAAGGCCCAGGUCUGUGAGGACAGACCGUUCUGGUGACACCGAAAAAGGCUGUACAGCUCCCAAAAGUGGGCAGGGAUGGAGAGGAAGAUGGACCAGCCAAGGGUGGGGGACCUAAUCUUCUGUCCUUCCAACAUGAGCCACUGUGCCUUAGAGCAAAGUUUCUAGCACCGAAGCGCAUGCUGAUCACUUGGGAAUGUGGCUGGCCUAGGGGUUUGCUCCAGUAGAUCCUGGGUAGAGCCUGAGACUGUAAACCUAGUGAAUAAUUUAGAUGUCAACUACCAUAUACAUAUUUCAAAGACUUUUCUUACAUUCUGACAAAUUUUUCACCUAAAAGACUAGGCAAAUCCACAAUGUCUUAUCUGAAAUGGAUUUUGGAAUUCAGAUUUCAUGAAAUUUUAGAAAUGUAAUACAGGGUUAUACUGUAUAAUAUGUAUCAUUCCCAGCAAGGAAAGCAGGAUAAACCAACUGAAAAUAGCUUCAUGUCAGUUCAGGUCAGGUCCUAUCACCAAAUGAAUUUGUCUCACACUUACAGGGUAGAUAGAGAAGGGAGACUUUGGUUUCAUAAUUUGUUGGAUUUUAGAAUUGCAAGUAGGGAACUAUUGGCUCCUACAACUCUUAAAUCCAUAGUGAGCUGGGCCUUUAUGGCUGCUUAAGAUAGUAUUAUGGGGACCAGGGAUUUAGCUCAGUGGUCAGUGGUUCUACCCCUUGCCUUGCAAGCGCAAGGCCCUGAGUUUGAUCCCGGGUACCAAACAAAAAAAGAUAGUAUUACAGUUUGGAUCUCAAUUGACUUCCCAAAUCUCAUGUACUAAAAACUUGGUCCCUCUUAGGAGGCGCUGGAAAUUCUAGGAGCUAGAGCCUCACUGGAGAAAGUGGGUUAUUGGUGGCAAGCCCUUGUUAAACCUAUCUCGUCCCAGAACCAAUCACUGGAGCAAGCGAGGGUGGGAUCACCCUGACUGGCUUCGACCCCUGGAGGCAGGAGUAGGGAACAGCCCUCCUACACAGGCUGCAACCUGCUGGGCAGUGGGGGUAGAUGGAGAGAUUAUCCCAGUGUUCACAGUGCCCAUUUUGCUAUGAAUUGCUUGUUUACAUCCUCUGUCCUUUAAAAAAGUUUUAACUGGGCCGAGGAUUUAGCUCAGUGGUUUUGCUGCCUGCUGCACAAGCGUAAGGACCUGAAU